UACGUAGGGGGCAAGCGUUGUCCGGAAUUAUUGGGCGUAAAGAGCGUGUAGGCGGUCCGGUAAGUCGGCUGUGAAAGUCCAGGGCUCGACCCUGGGAUGCCGGUCGAUACUGCCGGACUAGAGUUCGGAAGAGGCGAGUGGAAUUCCCGGUGUAGCGGUGAAAUGCGCAGAUAUUCGGAGGAACACCAGUGGCGAAGGCGGCUCACUGGUCCAUUACUGACGCUGAGGUGCGAAAGCGUGGGGAGCAAACAGG
rnacentral:rRNA from 1 species